AGCGCUCAUUCGGUUGCAGCAAUGUAGCCGAGUGGGAGCGGCGCAAGGGUGCGUAACACGUGGGUAAUUUGCCAAAAAGUUUGGGAUAACUCGCUGAAAGGCGAGCUAAUACCGGAUGUGAUCAUCGGGCGGCAUCGUUUGAUGAUUAAAGUUGGGGACCGUAAGGCCUGACGCUUUUUGAUAAGCCCGCGGCCUAUCAGCUAGUUGGUGAGGUGACGGCUCACCAAGGCUAAGACGGGUAGCUGGUCUGAGAGGACGACCAGCCACACUGGAACUGAGACACGGUCCAGACACCUACGGGUGGCAGCAGUCGAGAAUUUUUCACAAUGGGCGAAAGCCUGAUGGAGCGACGCCGCGUGGGGGAUGAAUGGCUUCGGCCCGUAAACCCCUGUCAUUUGCGAACAAACCUUGCUAUUUAAAAGAUGGCGAGCUGAUUGUAGCGAAAGAGGAAGGGACGGCUAACUCUGUGCCAGCAGCCGCGGUAAUACAGAGGUCCCAAGCGUUGUUCGGAUUCACUGGGCGUAAAGGGUGCGUAGGUGGUGAGGUAAGUCGGAUGUGAAAGCUCCGAGCUCAACUCGGAAAAUGGCAUUGGAAACUACCUUGCUCGAGGGUUUGAGGGGGGACUGGAAUACUUGGUGUAGCAGUGAAAUGCGUAGAUAUCAAGUAGAACACCAGUGGCGAAGGCGAGUCCCUGGAAAACUCCUGACACUGAGGCACGAAAGCUAGGGGAGCAAACAGGAUUAGAUACCCUGGUAGUCCUAGCCGUAAACGGUGCGUAUUUGCUGU
rnacentral:rRNA from 1 species